CUACGGGACGCUGCAGUAACGAAUAUUGGACAAUGAGCGAAAGCUUGAUCCAGCAAUACCGCGUGCAGGAAGAAGCCCUUCGGGGUGUAAACUGCUGUCAGGGACCACCAAGCAAUGAGUGUUAAUACCAUUCUGCGUUGAGGAAUCCCAGAGGAAGCCACGGCUAACUUCUUGCCAGCAGCCGCGGUAAGACGAAGGUGGCGAGCGUUGUUCGGAAUCACUGGGCUUAAAGAGCUCGUAGGCGGAUUGUCAAGCGUCUUGUGAAAGCCCUCGGCUCAACCGAGGAAUAGCUUGGCGAACUGGCAAUCUUGAGACAUGUAGGGGCAACCGGAACUCAUGGUGGAGCGGUGGAAUGCGUAGAUAUCAUGAGGAACGCCAGAGGCGAAGGCGGGUUGCUGGGCAUGUUCUGACGCUGAGGAGCGAAAGCGUGGGUAGCGAACGGGAUUAGAUACCCGGGUAGUC
rnacentral:rRNA from 1 species